UGUUCGAUCAUGGCUCAGAUUGAACCGCCGGCGGGAUGCUUUACACAUGCAAGUCGAACGGCAGCACGGACUUCGGUCUGGUGGCGAGUAUGAACGGGUGAGUAAUGUAUCGGAACGUGCCUAGUAGCGGGAUAACUACGCGAAAGCGUAAUGCAUGUAUGGCCUUCGGGGAAAGCGGGGAUCUUCGGCCUUCGCACUAGUUGAGUGUCGAUACUAUCAGCUAGGUUGGUGGGGUGAAUGGCUCACCAAGGCGACGAUCCGUAGCUGGUUUGAGAGGACGACCAGCCACACUGGGACUGGAGACGACGGCCCGACUCCUACGGCAAGCAGGGGAAUUUUGGACAAUGGGGAAACCCCGAUCCAGCCAUCCCGCGUGUGCGAUGAAGGCCUCGGGUUGUAAAAGUUGUUCUUUAAGAACGGCACGUGGAUAACAAUUCCCGUGCAACUGACGGUACUCGGUGAAUAAGCACCGGCCACAAUCAAUACGCCGCCAGCAGCCGCGGUAAUACGUAGGGGUGCUGUUAAUCGGAAUUACUGCGUAAAGCGUAGGCGGUUCGGAAAGAGGAUGUGAAAUCCCAGAGCUUAACUUUGGAACUGCAUUUUUAACUACCGAGCUAGAGUGUGUCAGAGGGAGGUGGAAUUCCAGCAGUGAAAUGCGUAGAUAUGGAGGAACACCGAUGGCAAGGCAGCCUCCUGGGAUAACACUGACGUCAAUGAAAGCGUGGGGAGCAACAGAUUAGAUACCUCCUGGUAUUUACCACCCUAAACGAUGUCGUCAACUAGCUGGUUGGGGCCUUCGGCCUGGUAGUGCAGCUACCGCGAAGUUAACGCUCAGAGUAUUGGCUCGUGAUUAAAACUCAAAGGAAUUGACGGGGACCCGCACAAAGGGUGGAUGAUGGAUUAAUUCGAUGCAACGCGAAAACCUACCUACUCCUUGAUACGCUGGAAUCCCGAAGAGAUUUGGGAGUGCUCGCAAGAGAACCGGAACACAGGUGCUGCAUGGCUACGUCAGCUCGUGUCGAGAUGUUGGGUUAAGUCCCGGCAACGAGCGCAACCUGUCAUUAGUUGCUACGAAAGGGCACUCUAAUGACUGCCGGUGACAAAACGGAGGAAGGUGGAUGACGUCAAGUCCUCAUGGCCCUUAUGGGUAGGGCUUCACACGUCAUACAAUGGUCGGGACAGAGGGUCGCCAACCCGCGAGGGGGAGCCAAUCCCAGAAACCCGAUCGUAGUCCGGAUCGCAGUCUGCAACUCGACCGCGUGAAGUCGGGAAUCGCUAGUAAUCGCGGAUCAGCAUGUCGCGGUGAAUACGUUCCCGGGUCUUGUACACACCGCCCGUCACACCAUGGGAGUGGGUUUUCCACCAGAAGUAGUUAGCCUAACCGUGGCGAUGAUUACCAUUGCAGGAUUCCAGACUGGGGUGAAGUCGUAACAAGGCAG
rnacentral:rRNA from 1 species